GCUGAUCCUCUUCGGAGGUGACGCUUGUGGAACGAGCGGCGGACGGGUGAGUAACACGUGGGCAACCUGCCUGUAAGACUGGGAUAACCCCGGGAAACCGGGGCUAAUACCGGAUAAUACUUUUCAUCACCUGAUGGAAAGUUGAAAGGUGGCUUUUAGCUACCACUUACAGAUGGGCCCGCGGCGCAUUAGCUAGUUGGUGAGGUAACGGCUCACCAAGGCAACGAUGCGUAGCCGACCUGAGAGGGUGAUCGGCCACACUGGGACUGAGACACGGCCCAGACUCCUACGGGAGGCAGCAGUAGGGAAUCUUCCGCAAUGGACGAAAGUCUGACGGAGCAACGCCGCGUGAGUGAUGAAGGUUUUCGGAUCGUAAAGCUCUGUUGUUAGGGAAGAACAAGUGCCGUUCGAAUAGGGCGGCACCUUGACGGUACCUAACCAGAAAGCCCCGGCUAACUACGUGCCAGCAGCCGCGGUAAUACGUAGGGGGCAAGCGUUGUCCGGAAUUAUUGGGCGUAAAGCGCGCGCAGGCGGUCCUUUAAGUCUGAUGUGAAAGCCCACGGCUCAACCGUGGAGGGUCAUUGGAAACUGGAGGACUUGAGUACAGAAGAGGAGAGUGGAAUUCCACGUGUAGCGGUGAAAUGCGUAGAGAUGUGGAGGAACAC
rnacentral:rRNA from 1 species